rnacentral:rRNA from 1 species
AUUGAACGCUGGCGGCAGGCCUCACACAUGCAAGUCGAACGAGUGGCGGACGGGUGAGUAAUGUCUGGGAAACUGCCUGAUGGAGGGGGAUCACUACUGGAAACGGUAGCUAAUACCGCAUACCAUCGGAUGUACCCAUAUGGGAUUAGCUAGUAGGUGGGGUAAAGGCUAACCUAGGCGACGAUCCCUAGCUGGUCUGAGAGGAUGACCAGCCACACUGGAACGUAGACACGGUCCAGACGCCUACGGGAGGCAGCAGUGGGGAAUAUUGCACAAUGGGCGCAAGCCUGAUGCAGCCAUGCCGCGUGUAUGAAGAAGGCUUUAGGGUUGUAAAGUACUUUCAGCGGGGAGGCGUUACCCGCAGAAGAAGCACCGGCUAACUCCGUGCCAGCAGCCGCGGUAAUUC